UUUUUGUUUUUGUUUUUGUUUUUUUGCUGGGACCUGGAUGUAAAUAGAUUCUCCUUGAGUGUAUGAAAGUAGAGGAAAGCAUCCUUCGCUAGGCAUGUUACAUGGAACUUUCCAACAAUGUCCACAUUUGAGAAGUCUUCCAAGUAGGCAGUGAGCGUCACUUACUGGACUGCAUACUAGCCACACUGGCACCUUCAAGGCAAGCUUUUCUAAGCAUGUUGUUCACCUUCCUUCACACCAAGCUUCCAAAGAUCUUUUGGGGUAGUCAUGACACUAUAUUGCAAUUUAUACUUUAAAGUAACCUAAACCAGGAGCAUUAACUCUACUGAUGCCAGUAUAUUCCUGCACUCCAAAAGUCAUGCGCAGUUGAAGGUUUCCCCUCAGAAUCAUUGGAAUAUAGUCAUAGGAUUAACUGUAACUGGAUGCCAAGAUUAAGCUUUGGAAAAGUUGAAGUAAAGAAGUUCAGAAGUGGGGAGGAGCAGUAAGAAAGGCUGUCUUAACAUGUUUCACGUCAACUUCAUUGAAAGGUCUUUAUAUCUGGCCCACAAUUUCAUUCAAAAACAUUACAACAAACCUGCAUCGAUAGCUUUUUAUGUGCCAGCAUGGAGCCUUGUGCUGAUAUAGAGUAGAAGAUCGGAUGAAGAUUGGCUUGAAGUUGUGUUCUAGUUCAUUCAACUUCCCACGAUGGCUUGUCCCAGGAUAAUUUCUAGGAAAGGCAAAAAGCAAAUGCAUUAAAUCACACCUAACCCGCUACCCCACUUACAAAUCCCCUAAAAUUUAAAUCCCUAGAGGUUGUGUAAACCUGUAUCGAGAAAGACCACUUAGAUCCAAAGUAUAAUCUGAGACAAAAUAGCCUAUCCAGAGUGUUGGAAACCUCUUGGGGGAGAGUAGAGCCCUGAUGUGCUGAGGUCCCACCUUGACUCCUGGUCCUUUCUUCUAGGACCUACCUGCCCUUCAGGGCCAAUCUCCAGUUCCAUAGCCUCAGUCCAAACAUCCCUAGAAACGUGCACUGUGGUCUCUCUCAUCCCUGAAUUCCUGCAGUAUUUGGCAAUGUGUAUUGCUGUAGAUGUAGCAUCUGCAACAUGUUAGCUUCAUUGGACUGUGACCCCACUGGCAUCAUAAGAGGGCUGAGAGGGGUCCUGUUGUGUGAGAUGUUGAAAAAUGACUGACUGAAUGAAUAAAUGAUAACCAGGGCCAGGAUUGUUUCUAUAUAUUUAUUUCACAUCACCUGGCACAGAGUCAUACUUGGAAUACGUUGCCGAUCAUGAAGGUGAUCACCGAUCGUGAAGGUGAUCACCAAUCGUGAAGGUGAUCACUGAUGCUGUCUUGAUCCAUGCUCUAGAGAGAUCAUUUUACAAGGAUUUGCAAGAAAGAAAGUUUCCUUCUCAAGAAACAUAAUGGAGUAAACCUAUUUUCUUUGAGAAGAAACUGUUCUGCUGUUUUACUGUCAGAUUCUUUUUUACUUUCUUUCAGAAUGUGAUUUAUCUGAUAUAGGGCUAAAAGAAAUGAAUUCUACCCAUAGAAUUAAAAACAAAAAAACUGUUUGGAAGACCAACAAAGAACUUAUGAGGACUGAGUA
ensembl:lncRNA